rnacentral:rRNA from 1 species
CCAUGCUGGAAUGUUAAUAAAGAAAGAGCAAUCGUUAUUAGUAAUUAAAAGAUAAAAGGGGUAUGUCGUUGGUUUAAUCAAUCCAGGGAUGAAAGGCAUUGGUAUCAACCAAUAUAAUCCUUUGGAAGUGAUAAUCUUGAGUGCAGGAGAGGUAAGUGGAAUUCGUAGUGUAGAGGAGAAAUUCGUAGAUAUUAGGAGGAACACCAGUGGAGAAGGCGCCUUGGUGGACUGUAACUGACACUGAGGCACGAAAGCGUGGGGAGCGAACAGGAUUAUAAAC